rnacentral:rRNA from 1 species
AACGAACGCUGGCGGUAUGCUUAACACAUGCAAGUCGAACGGAUGCCUUUGGAGCUUGCUCCAAAAGCGUUAGUGGCAAACGGGUGAGUAACACGUGGGAAUCUACCUAUCAGUACGGAAUAACAUUUGGAAACAGAUGCUAAUACCGUAUAUUAUCUUCGGAGGAAAGAUUUAUCGCUGAUAGAUGAGCCCGCGUAAGAUUAGGUAGUUGGUGGGGUAAUAGCCUACCAAGCCGACGAUCUUUAGCUGAUCUGAGAGGAUGAUCAGCCACACUGGGACUGAGACACGGCCCAGACUCCUACGGGAGGCAGCAGUGGGGAAUUUUGGACAAUGGGCGAAAGCCUGAUCCAGCAAUGCCGCGUGCAGGAUGAAGGCCUUCGGGUUGUAAACUGCUUUUGUACGGAACGAAACGGUGAGCUCUAAUACAGUUUGCUAAUGACGGUACCGUAAGAAUAAGCACCGGCUAACUACGUGCCAGCCGCCGCCGUAAGAC